rnacentral:rRNA from 1 species
CAGCAGUCGGGAAUUUUGCACAAUGGCCGAAGGCCUGAUGCAGCGACGCCGCGUGAGUGAAGAAGGCCUUCAGGUUGUAAAGCUCUGUUGCCCGUGACGAAAAGUCCAGUCAGGAAACUUGUAGUAUUGACGGUAGCGGGAGAGGAAGCCCCGGCUAACUACGUG